UAGGGAAUCUUGCACAAUGGACGAAAGUCUGAUGGAGCAACGCCGCGUGAGUGAAGAAGGGUUUCGGCUCGUAAAACUCUGUUGUUAAAGAAGAACAUAUCUGAGAGUAACUGUUCAGGUAUUGACGGUAUUUAACCAGAAAGCCACGGCUAACUACGUGACAG
rnacentral:rRNA from 1 species